GAAAAGGAAAACAUGCAAGGAAAAAAAAGAUCAGUUGUGCCUUUCAGUUUUAAUCUUGUUCAAUUUUCUUUGCCAUGAUUUGCAAGUAGAUAAAAGGAGAGAGCUUUGUUUGGUAUCACUCCCAUAUGACAUGAUUGGACAAACAAUUCUGCCAAACAUUCUUCAAUGUAAUUUUUUCCCUCCAAGGCAAAGGCUAUACUGCAGAAGAUAUCACAGUACAGGAAGCUGAGUCAAAGGACACCUCUCUUCACUACUGAAAGCAGCAGAAAGCCUUAGGAAUGUACAGAAAAGACUAGCCCUUUAUCUAGAUACA